AAACAAGAACCCAUGAUCCGCGUUGAUGGCUCCCUCUUUCCCAAUGACCCCAACGUAACACCAACCAUAAACCCAAGAUUCAAGAAUCAUUACAACCCAACAAAAAGCUACUCCCUUUUCUUUUUUCGGUUUCUGAGAAAACAAGAGCUUCAGGCCAUGGCCUCAAUGCGUCGUGUUUCUCUUUGCAAGGCACAAGGGUCCCCUUCUUUUUCCACCUCAUUGUUAUCAUCGCCUACGGGUUCUCUUCCUAUCCGAGCUCCUAUUACUCCUGACGAUGAUUCUUCUGAUUUUGAAUCUAACGGUCAUACUGACCAUGGUUAUAGUGAU
rnacentral:misc_RNA from 1 species